UUAAGCGACUAAGCGUACACGGUGGAUGCCCUGGCAGUCAGAGGCGAUGAAGGGCGUGCUAAUCUGCGAUAAGCGCCGGUAAGGUGAUAUGAACCGUUAUAACCGGCGAUACCCGAAUGGGGAAACCCAGUGUGACUCGUCACACUAUCAUUAACUGAAUCCAUAGGUUAAUGAGGCGAACCGGGGGAACUGAAACAUCUAAGUACCCCGAGGAAAAGAAAUCAACCGAGAUUCCCCCAGUAGCGGCGAGCGAACGGGGAGGAGCCCAGAGCCUGAAUCAGCAUGUGUGUUAGUGGAAGCGUCUGGAAAGGCGCGCGAUACAGGGUGACAGCCCCGUACACAAAAGCGCAUGUGCUGUGAGCUCGAUGAGUAGGGCGGGACACGUGGUAUCCUGUCUGAAUAUGGGGGGACCAUCCUCCAAGGCUAAAUACUCCUGACUGACCGAUAGUGAACCAGUACCGUGAGGGAAAGGCGAAAAGAACCCCGGCGAGGGGAGUGAAAAAGAACCUGAAACCGUGUACGUACAAGCAGUGGGAGCCCCACCACUAAGCCAGUGGUGAACUCCACAUACGCAUCCUUUGCUGAGGAUACGGUUAACGGAGCGAAAGCGACGUUCAACCUCAAAAGAAGCAGAGGGGGCUUAGUGGUGGGGUGACUGCGUACCUUUUGUAUAAUGGGUCAGCGACUUAUAUUCUGUAGCAAGGUUAACCGAAUAGGGGAGCCGGAGGGAAACCGAGUCUUAAUUGGGCGUUAAGUUGCAGGGUAUAGACCCGAAACCCGGUGAUCUAGCCAUGGGCAGGUUGAAGGUUGGGUAACACUAACUGGAGGACCGAACCGACUAAUGUUGAAAAAUUAGCGGAUGACCUGUGGCUGGGGGUGAAAGGCCAAUCAAACCGGGAGAUAGCUGGUUCUCCCCGAAAGCUAUUUAGGUAGCGCCUCGUGAAUUCAUCUCCGGGGGUAGAGCACUGUUUCGGCUAGGGGGCCAUCCCGGCUUACCAACCCGAUGCAAACUGCGAAUACCGGAGAAUGUUAUCACGGGAGACACACGGCGGGUGCUAACGUCCGUCGUGAAGAGGGAAACAACCCAGACCGCCAGCUAAGGUCCCAAAGUCAUGGUUAAGUGGGAAACGAUGUGGGAAGGCCCAGACAGCCAGGAUGUUGGCUUAGAAGCAGCCAUCAUUUAAAGAAAGCGUAAUAGCUCACUGGUCGAGUCGGCCUGCGCGGAAGAUGUAACGGGGCUAAACCAUGCACCGAAGCUGCGGCAGCGACGCUGAUGCGUUGUUGGGUAGGGGAGCGUUCUGUAAGCCUGCGAAGGUGGCCUGUGAGGGUUGCUGGAGGUAUCAGAAGUGCGAAUGCUGACAUAAGUAACGAUAAAGCGGGUGAAAAGCCCGCUCGCCGGAAGACCAAGGGUUCCUGUCCAACGUUAAUCGGGGCAGGGUGAGUCGACCCCUAAGGCGAGGCCGAAAGGCGUAGUCGAUGGGAAACGGGUUAAUAUUCCCGUACUUGGUGUUACUGCGAAGGGGGGACGGAGAAGGCUAUGUUGGCCGGGCGACGGUUGUCCCGGUUUAAGCGUGUAGGUGUGUGUUCCAGGUAAAUCCGGUUCACUUUAACACUGAGGCGUGAUGACGAGGCACUACGGUGCUGAAGCAACAAAUGCCCUGCUUCCAGGAAAAGCCUCUAAGCAUCAGGUAACAUCAAAUCGUACCCCAAACCGACACAGGUGGUCAGGUAGAGAAUACCAAGGCGCUUGAGAGAACUCGGGUGAAGGAACUAGGCAAAAUGGUGCCGUAACUUCGGGAGAAGGCACGCUGACACGUAGGUGAAGUGAUUUACUCAUGGAGCUGAAGUCAGUCGAAGAUACCAGCUGGCUGCAACUGUUUAUUAAAAACACAGCACUGUGCAAACACGAAAGUGGACGUAUACGGUGUGACGCCUGCCCGGUGCCGGAAGGUUAAUUGAUGGGGUCAGCGCAAGCGAAGCUCCUGAUCGAAGCCCCGGUAAACGGCGGCCGUAACUAUAACGGUCCUAAGGUAGCGAAAUUCCUUGUCGGGUAAGUUCCGACCUGCACGAAUGGCGUAAUGAUGGCCAGGCUGUCUCCACCCGAGACUCAGUGAAAUUGAACUCGCUGUGAAGAUGCAGUGUACCCGCGGCAAGACGGAAAGACCCCGUGAACCUUUACUAUAGCUUGACACUGAACAUUGAGCCUUGAUGUGUAGGAUAGGUGGGAGGCUUUGAAGUGUGGACGCCAGUCUGCAUGGAGCCGACCUUGAAAUACCACCCUUUAAUGUUUGAUGUUCUAACGUGGACCCGUUACCCGGGUUGCGGACAGUGUCUGGUGGGUAGUUUGACUGGGGCGGUCUCCUCCUAAAGAGUAACGGAGGAGCACGAAGGUUGGCUAAUCCUGGUCGGACAUCAGGAGGUUAGUGCAAUGGCAUAAGCCAGCUUGACUGCGAGCGUGACGGCGCGAGCAGGUGCGAAAGCAGGUCAUAGUGAUCCGGUGGUUCUGAAUGGAAGGGCCAUCGCUCAACGGAUAAAAGGUACUCCGGGGAUAACAGGCUGAUACCGCCCAAGAGUUCAUAUCGACGGCGGUGUUUGGCACCUCGAUGUCGGCUCAUCACAUCCUGGGGCUGAAGUAGGUCCCAAGGGUAUGGCUGUUCGCCAUUUAAAGUGGUACGCGAGCUGGGUUUAGAACGUCGUGAGACAGUUCGGUCCCUAUCUGCCGUGGGCGCUGGAGAACUGAGGGGGGCUGCUCCUAGUACGAGAGGACCGGAGUGGACGCAUCACUGGUGUUCGGGUUGUCAUGCCAAUGGCACUGCCCGGUAGCUAAAUGCGGAAGAGAUAAGUGCUGAAAGCAUCUAAGCACGAAACUUGCCCCGAGAUGAGUUCUCCCUGAGACUUUAGGUCUCCUGAAGGAACGUUGAAGACGACGACGUUGAUAGGCCGGGUGUGUAAGCGCAGCGAUGCGUUGAGCUAACCGGUACUAAUGAACCGUGAGGCUUAACCU
rnacentral:rRNA from 1 species